AUGUUCUCUGUAGCUCUGCUGCUCCUGCUGGCUGCUGGAUCCUAUGUGAAAUCUGAACAGCUGACACAGCCAGCUUCUUUAACUCUGCAGCCAGGUCAGCAUCUGUCCAUAGACUGCCAGGUUUCUUAUUCUCUUAGCGGCUUCCCAACAGCUUGGAUCAGACAACCUUCAGGGAAAGGACUGGAAUGGAUCGGCAGAGCUGGAGAAGGAUGGAGCACAUACUAUAAAGAUUCACUGAAGAACAAGUUCAGCAUCAGCUUUGUCACUUCUAGUAAAACAGUGACUCUGAAAGGACAGAAUAUGCAGCCUGAAGACUCUGCUGUCUAUUACUGUGCCAGAGAGAGACACAGUGACACAAACAAGCAGCAGAGCUGUACAAAAACCUAA